rnacentral:rRNA from 1 species
UACGUAGGGGCCGAGCGUUGUCCGGAGUUAUUGGGCGUAAAGCGCGCGCAGGCGGCUUCGCGCGUCCGACGUGAAAGCCCCCGGCUUAACCGGGGAGGGUCGUUGGGUACGGCGGAGCUUGAGGGCGGGAGAGGGUGGUGGAAUUCCCGGUGUAGUGGUGAAAUGCGUAGAGAUCGGGAGGAACACCUGUGGCGAAGGCGGCCACCUGGGCCGACCCUGACGCGUGAGG